rnacentral:rRNA from 1 species
AUUGAACGCUGGCGGCAGGCCUAACACAUGCAAGUCGAGCGGAUGAAGGGAGCUUGCUCCUGGAUUCAGCGGCGGACGGGUGAGUAAUGCCUAGGAAUCUGCCUGGUAGUGGGGGAUAACGUCCGGAAACGGGCGCUAAUACCGCAUACGUCCUGAGGGAGAAAGUGGGGGAUCUUCGGACCUCACGCUAUCAGAUGAGCCUAGGUCGGAUUAGCUAGUUGGUGGGGUAAAGGCCUACCAAGGCGACGAUCCGUAACUGGUUUGAGAGGAUGAUCAGUCACACUGGAACUGAGACACGGUCCAGACUCCUACGGGAGGCAGCAGUGGGGAAUAUUGGACAAUGGGCGAAAGCCUGAUCCAGCCAUGCCGCGUGUGUGAAGAAGGUCUUCGGAUUGUAAAGCACUUUAAGUUGGGAGGAAGGGCAGUAAGUUAAUACCUUGCUGUUCUGACGUUACCAACAGAAUAAGCACCGGCUAACUUCGUG